AUUCCUACGGGAGGCAGCAGUGGGGAAUAUUGCACAAUGGGCGGAAGCCUGAUGCAGCAACGCCGCGUGCGGGAUGACGGCCUUCGGGUUGUAAACCGCUUUCAGCAGGGACGAAGCGUGAGUGACGGUACCUGCAGAAGAAGCACCGGCUAACUACGUGCCAGCAGCCGCGGUAAUAAU
rnacentral:rRNA from 1 species